rnacentral:rRNA from 1 species
ACGGAAGGCAGCAGUGGGGAAUAUUGCACAAUGGGCGAAAGCCUGAUGCAGCGACGCCGCGUGAGCGAAGAAGUAUUUCGGUAUGUAAAGCUCUAUCAGCAGGGAAGAUAAUGACGGUACCUGACUAAGAAGCACCGGCUAAAUACGUGCCAGCAGCCGCGGUAAUACGUAUGGUGCAAGCGUUAUCCGGAUUUACUGGGUGUAAAGGGAGCGUAGGCGGUUUUACAAGUCUGAUGUGAAAGCCCGGGGCUCAACUCCGGUAUUGCAUUGGAAACUGUAGAACUAGAGUGUCGGAGGGGUAAGUGGAAUUCCUAGUGUAGCGGUGAAAUGCAUAGAUAUUAGGAGGAACACCAGUGGCGAAGGCGGCUUACUGGACGAUUACUGACGCUGAGGCUCGAAAGCGUGGGGAGCAAACAGGAUUAGAUACCCUGGUA